rnacentral:rRNA from 1 species
GACGAACGCUGGCGGCGUGCUUAACACAUGCAAGUCGAACGGAAAGGCCCUGCUUUUGUGGGGUGCUCGAGUGGCGAACGGGUGAGUAACACGUGAGUAACCUGCCCUUGACUUUGGGAUAACUUCAGGAAACUGGGGCUACUACCGGAUAGGAGCUCCUGCUGCAUGGUGGGGGUUGGAAAGUUUCGGCGGUUGGGGAUGGACUGGCGGCUUAUCAGCUUGUUGGUGGGGUAGUGGCUUACCAAGGCUUUGACGGGUAGCCGGCCUGAGAGGGUGACCGGCCACAUUGGGACUGAGAGACGGCCCAGACUGCUACGGGAGGCAGCAGUGGGGAAUAUUGCACAAUGGGCGGAAGCCUGAUGCAGCAACGCCGCGUGCGGGAUGACGGCCUACGGGUUGUAAACCGCUUUCGCCUGUGACGAAGCGUGAGUGACGGUAAUGGGUAAAGAAGCACCGGCUAACUACGUG